GGCCUGGUGGCGGAGUGGUUACGCAGCGGACUGCAAAUCCGUGUACCCGAGUUCGAUUCUCGGCCAGGCCUCCA
rnacentral:tRNA from 2 species